ACUUGAGUCCAGAUCGCCCCCGGUGUGAAACUCGUCCAUCUUGGGCGUAGUCCGCAUGAGGAGGGCAGCGUCCAUCCGCGCGGCGUCUUUCUCCACAUGAGCCUCCGCGGUGGUGAUCUCAUCCUCCUCGCGCGUGUCGUUGCCGGCGGGAGUGGCAAGCAUAGGGCGAGACGAGGCAUCUCGUCCCCCAUCCGGGCCUCGGGGAUACAUCACAGGCGGUGGUGGAAGAGCAGGAACUAGACAGAGGCGACUUCGAGGAUGGGUAUGAAACUGAGCGAGUGCUCGGUGGCGGUGUAGGAAGUGGGUGUGCGAGACGGCGAACCGGCGAACCGAAAGAGUAGAAGCGGGGGAGGGAUUCCUUGCCUCGCAGAAAUAUCUUACUUUUUUCGCCAACGCUUGGAGCUUCCAGAACAGUCAUGGAGAAUGGAGCAGCGAUGCGUCUGUUACUGUCAGCUGCAGGUGUUUUUAGCCGUUGUUACUCAAUCGGAUGGACGGCAUAAAAGAGAAUGACGUGGACGCACCAGAUUGAUUGGACAAAGAAGGAGAGCCAAGAACAACUACACCAAAGAUGGAUGAGGGCGAUGAACUUGGUACUCAAACCAUAGCUGGUGCUAUACGAGAUGCAGCAUCAAAGAGAGCGUUGCCACCAGGUUUGUUUGAAGCUGUGGAUAUUCUUCCUGAUUUUGAGCUUAAGCACAAGGUUAAGUACUAUUCUUAUUUGCUGAACAAUCCUAAUGUUGCACAAGAGUUUGUGGAGGUGUCGUUGUUGUACAAGCUUAGUAUGCUUACUGAGUUCAUUAAUGGUAAUAUGUAGGCUUGCUAGGAAUACUUCAUUUUGGGUGACAUAAACUAGUAUGUCAUGUUCUAUGUAUCCAUAAACAAGGCACUUUGGAAUACUUCAUUUUGGGUGAUAUGAACUUGUAUGUCAUGCUAAUUGUAUUCAUGAACAUGGCAAUUUGGAUUAUAUGAGUGUUGUGAUGACUUGUGGUUUAUAUGUUAUCAUGUCAAAUAUAUGCAUGUUGUGAUGAACUUGUAUGUCAUGCUAAUGUCUACUUCAGUGACUCUUCAACCAAACAAAGGAUGGAGUUGUUCUGUUCCAGUUCACUCUGCAACCAAACAAAAAACAGAGCCGCUCCGUUCCAGUUUACCAAACACAGAACA